AUGCUUGGAUUGGAGCCAGCAAGUUGCCAGAUUCACCUAAAAUCAAGAUAGUCCCUAUUUUACCUUUAUUUCUGUCAUCCUCCAUCCCACCAGCCAUAUCCCUUUUGUUUUGCUGGCUCCAUCUCUGAUGGCUGUCAUCGGAGCCAUGGCGUUGCCACCAGCAAGAGUCACCAUGGGCGGCUAGCCCAAUCAUCCAUGGUCAUA
rnacentral:lncRNA from 1 species